ACGUUGUUGUGUUUGCUGGGGUUUUUAUCGAGCCUGAGGGAGGUGAAUGGUGCUUCUCAAACAGAAAGCUGCAUCCUAAAAUUCAGAUGAUCAGUACCGACUCGUUUUCUUUCGUGAAUUUUAAUGUGUGCAGCCUUCCGUUUGAGAAGCUCUGAAUCAUGAGUCGAUUAUUCCCCUUGAUGGAAUCGAUUCCUUUGGAUUCGACUCUCGAUUCCCAACGCCUCCGGAUUUCAAACAUUCCAACAUUCCCACAUUUCCCAGCCCUGCAGCGAGGACACUGCGCAGAUAGAAAGAGAGAAAGAGUAGCUCGCUGGAUUUGAUCCGUUUUAUGUCCUAGAAAACAUUUGUACAGGUCACACUGAACAGCAGAUUGUUGUCUCAAGCAGUGCUGAUCAAUGACAGUUUAGCUGCAGUAUGUCAGAGAAGAGAGGAAAGAUGAGUCUCUCACAGAAACUGAGUGUAAGAUCAGGAUCACAUGUGUCUGUGAAGAGUGACCGGUCAAAGGGUGAAGGACCGAACUUCAGUGAGAAAAAAACAUCUAUCGAAAGUGUAAGAUCAGGCUCACCAUGUGUCCAGCUCUGUGUCUGUGAAGAGUGACCAGUCAAAGGAAGAACCACCGAAAUUCAGUGAAGAAACAGCAUCACAAACCAAAUUACUGUUUCUUAUUUUUGUUUUACACAUAGACUGUGUCAGAAAGUCAUAAAACUUAUUAGUCCAUAAAUUUAUCACAGUAUUGUUUUUCUCUUUGCUAAAAUAUUUACAAGAUAUUUUGGUCAUUUUUCCUAAAAAUGCAGUAUUUUGAUUUAUUUUAUUUACUGUCAGGCUUAAGUAUGAAACAUUAGAUCCAGAUUUACAGUCUCACAGGAACCACAAGAAUUUUACAGACAGUCUCCUGCAGAUCUUCCAGGUAAUAAAACACAUUUUCAAGAAUAUUUAAUAAUUAUAAUAAACAAAUAUGUUAUUGAAAAAGAAUUUGAC
rnacentral:lncRNA from 1 species